AAAGGUGCGUAGGUGGUAUGUAAGUCAGGGUGAAAAGCUAUAGNUCAACUAUAGUCUUGCCUUUGAAACUGUGAUACUUGAGUGUAGAUGCUGUGGGCGGAAUGCGUAGUGUAGCGGUGAUAUGCAUAGAUAUUACGCAGAACUCCAAUUGCGAAGGCAGCUUACAAAGUUACAACUGACACUGAGGCACGAAAAGCGUGGGUAUCAAACAGGAUUAGAUACCCUGGUAGUCCACGCCGUAAAC
rnacentral:rRNA from 1 species